rnacentral:misc_RNA from 1 species
GUAGGUGAACCUGCGGAAGGAUCAUUAACACGUUUUCAACGUUAUGUGACUCUCCCUUAUUUUCCGUGCACAACCGGCCUCCUGACACUUUCCUCUCAGCUUGCUCUGUCUGCUGAUCGUGUCGGGCGUCUUUGGGGUACCAUAGCCGUUUUGAAGUUGCUUCAUUGCGAUCGAUCAACUGCUCCCGAGGGCGUCGCCAAACAACCCAAAAACUCCUUUAAUCUAACUGCUCUGAACUCUUUAGUUGGUACGGCUUCACCGCCUGUCUAACGAUUUAAAAACAAACAACAACUCUUAACAACGGAUAUCUUGGUUCUC